UUUGCUGGAUAUCAACCAUACAAUACAACAGACCGUUUAUGUCUACAAUUCAUUGCUUACUAGACCUAUUCCGAGUCAACUCAACCGGGUAAACUAAACUCAACAUGAGCACAAGGAGCCACUAGUCCUUCACAUCAACACCGGUUUUGUGAUCACCAUCCUCAUCAUCUACAGGCCCACAUUCCGAAUUCGAGCUAGCAUCCAAGUCCUUCUCCGGCGAGUCAAGCUGCACACACUCAGCAACCGAGUGAGACGGUGAGUUGUAUUCCGAGUCAUGGCUUCUGUUAGACGGUGUCACGUCUCCUUUCCUCACCACAUUAAACACAAUCCCGUUAUGUAUCCUCUCCGGCUGAAGAAGAUCGCCUGCAGCCACCGUGAUGCUACCACUACUACUACUGGUAUGGACCCGGUUGUUAGGGGUGUUUUCCCGUUGAUCGGCUUCGGGAUCCGAACUUCUCUCAGGCGGUACCACACGCAAGUUUUGGAAACUCCUGAGCGCCUUGUUCAUUUUCGAGUCCGUAUCUAGGUUCUGAACGAACUCGACGAACUGAUCCGCAGAAGUCGUUCUCAUCAACGGCCCACCAGAUCUCGUCCACGUAUUCAACUCCGCACUCUCUGACUCGCUAUCGCUCCCGUCGUGUAUGCGGUGGUGCCGCCAGUUACGACCGCCGUAGUGGAGGGUGGCGUCUGCUAGAUCUUCUUCUAGAGAUCCUGUUGAAUUCUCUCGUGCUAUACAGUUCCACGACGGUAUUCGUUUCGAUGCGUUAAACCGGACACUGUUUGAUCCACCGUGAGAAGCCGCAGCCGCGCGUUCGGCGCUUCGUUUCAACCUACGCAUGUGGUUUAGAAUCGCGACACACUCGUCAAGCGCGAGCUCGAUCCCGCAAUUGGCUUUUAUGGCAGAAAGCUUCUCCCAUGUGCAUCUUCGGCCUUGAUUGGCGGCUUUUUGAAGCUCCAAAUGAGACGGAUUUUGUAUGAUCUUCGAGUACUGGCAUAACGACGGUAACAUCGCCCUCCCAAUCUUGAGCAAAUAGCUUUGCAAGUCCUCCUAACGGAAAACCGAGUUCCAGAACUUGAUUGCAUCGGUGUUUCACUUCCAUUUCGACAAGAUGUGCAAGCUACAACAAGAUCAUAUAAUAUUUAAAAAAAAAAGAAAAUAUAAAAAAGCACAAAUUUUAACAGUAUAGAUUUGCAGGAAUGUACCUUUGCGGCAAAAUUGCCCCCGUAAGCUCUCACGAACUCUUUAAACCGGAGUAAAGGCGCGAUAUGUGGAUUUGCUUGACUAACGAUAAAAUGAUUUACAUUAAAAAGCUCUUUCAACUGAAUCAUGGGCAAAUCAAUCUCCAAACUACCGUCCCUCCAACGCCUGACAGACGUGCCAGUAGCUUCCUCGGGGCCCCAAUGAAAAGGCGGGUGAUACGGUACAAUUUCACCGCUUCUAUCCUUUGCCAUAAGUUCUUGAGCUUCAAAAAGGCCAGGGAACGCACAAGAAGCGGUAACCGCGCUCCAUAUAACCACGUGAGGUGAAGUCAAGUAGUUUAAACAUCUUGGCGGCUCGUGUUUUCUUGGGGAACAUACGGUUAUACCAAGAACACGGCCCGUCAUAUCGUAAGCUUCUUGAAACGUAAGAUUAUUUGUUAAGUUUCGUAACAGAACUUGUAAAUGUCUAAUGUCGUGAAGCGCUCCUUGCGUCAUAACCCUUUUGAAAACAUUGAAAAUUCCCCCAUUUGAUCGAAGAAUUGCAACGAAUACCACGAAUCCUCGAAGAAACUUUGAAGUUCGGGCCAUGAUCUGGUAGCGACAACCGAACACAUUAUGGACCCCACGCUCGACCCCGCGAUUAUUCUAGGCAAAAGUUUAUGUUCUACUAAAGUUUUCACCACACCCACAUGAAACGAUCCAAGUGACGCACCACCACUUAAAAGCAAAGCGGUUCUACCAAACGCAUGCCGAGUUUCAUGCAUAAACGCGAGCUUCUCUUCUAAAAGAAGCUCGUCAGAAUCCGAAUCACAAACCAUUCUUAAUUGCAUUGAAACCUCAUCGAUAUACUCUUUAAUCAGCUUCGGGACUUGAUGCCUACCUUUAUGAAGCUCGGGAUUACACAUGUUUCCAAGAUUUCUAAUCAAAUCCGCACGCAUACAAAAAAUAAUAUCUCUAAGCGAACACUCUUGACGCCUAUGUCUAAGCUCCUGAAGUUUAUUCCUAACAAGUUCUACAUCGUAAAGAUCAUGCUC
rnacentral:lncRNA from 1 species